rnacentral:rRNA from 1 species
GACGAACGCUGGCGGCGUGCUUAACACAUGCAAGUCGAACGGAAAGGCCCUGCUUUUGUGGGGUGCUCGAGUGGCGAACGGGUGAGUAACACGUGAGUAACCUGCCCUUGACUUUGGGAUAACUUCACGAAACUGGGGCUAAUAUCGGAUAGGAGCUCCUGCUGCAUGGUGGGGGUUGGAAAGUUUCGGCGGUUGGGGAUGGACUCGCGGCUUAUCAGCUUGUUGGUGGGGUAGUGGCUUACCAAGGCUUUGACGGGUAGCCGGCCUGAGAGGGUGACCGGCCACAUUGGGACUGAGAUACGGCCCAGAAGCCUACGGGAGGCAGCAGUGGGGAAUAUUGCACAGUGGGCGGGAGCCUGAUGCAGCAACGCCGCGUGCGGGAUGACGGCCUUCGGGUUGUAAACCGCUUUCGCCUGUGACGAAGCGUGAGUGACGGUAAUGGGUAAAGAAGCACCGGCUAACUACGUG